rnacentral:rRNA from 1 species
UACGAAGGGGGCUAGCGUUGCUCGGAAUCACUGGGCGUAAAGCGCACGUAGGCGGCUUUCUAAGUCAGGGGUGAAAUCCUGGAGCUCAACUCCAGAACUGCCUUUGAUACUGGAGAGCUUGAGUCCGGAAGAGGUGAGUGGAACUCCGAGUGUAGAGGUGAAAUUCGUAGAUAUUCGGAAGAACACCAGUGGCGAAGGCGGCUCACUGGUCCGGUACUGGCGCUGAGGUGCGAAAGCGUGGGGAGCAAACAGG